rnacentral:rRNA from 1 species
AUGGCUGGGCAUCUAGCCAAAAACCCAUUGCUCCUCUUCCUCCAGCCCCGCCGCCUCUGCACCGCCGCCGCAUCCUCCUCGGCCGCGGCGGGAGAACUCGCCCCCUCGCCCGUCGUCGAGGAGAUUCCCCGCGACGAUGACCUCGCGGAGGAGUCGCGCAGCCGCCUCGUGCGCGACACCUGCAAGCUGCUCGAGCUCCGCGGCUCGUGGACCCCGAAGCUGGAGGCGCAGCUCCGGCACCUGCUCCGGGUGCUCUCCCCACCGCAGGUCCGCGCCGUGCUCCGCGCGCAGGCGCAGACGGACACCCGCGCCGCGUUCGAAUUCUUCCGCUGGGCAGAUCGCCAGUGGCGCUACCGGCACGCCCCGGAGGUGUUCGACGAAAUGCUGAGCCUCCUCAGCCGCACCAGGCUCCACGACCCCGCCCGGCGCGUCAUGCGCCUCAUGAUCCGCCGCCGCAUGAGACGCGGGACGCAGCAGUUCGCGCACCUCAUGCUCUCGUACAGCCGCGCGGGGAAGCUCCGCUCCGCCAUGCGCGUGCUCCAGCUCAUGCAGAAGGACGGGUGCGCGCCUGACAUAUCGAUAUGCAACGUGGCAGUGAAUGUGCUUGUUUUUGCUGGGCGCAUUGACAAGGCGCUUGAGUUUAGCGACCGGUUGCGACGUGUUGGGGUCGAGCCGGAUGUAGUCACAUACAAUUGCCUUAUUAAGGGGUUAUGUAGCAUGCGGAGGGUUGUUGAGGCGCUGGAGAUGAUCGGUGUGAUGCUGCAAAAUGGGUGCCCACCUGAUAAGAUUACCUAUUAUACAGUGAUAGGCUUCUUGUGCAAGGAGAAGAGGGUGGCAGAGGUGCGCUCUUUGCUUGGGAGGAUGAGGAAUGAUGCGGGUCUAUUUCCAGAUCAGGUCACGUAUAACAUGCUCAUCCAUGUGCUUGCAAAGCAUGGGCAUGCAGAUGAGGCGUUGGAGUUCUUGAGGGAGUCAGAGGGGAAAAGGUUUCGUGUUGAUGAGGUUGGAUAUAGUGCAGUUGUGCACUCUUUCUGCUUGAAUGGGAGGAGAUUGUAA